rnacentral:rRNA from 1 species
CCUACGGGAGGCAGCAGUGAGGAAUAUUGGUCAAUGGACGGAAGUCUGAACCAGCCAUGCCGCGUGCAGGAAGACGGCUCUAUGAGUUGUAAACUGCUUUUGUACAAGGGUAAACCUGAAUACGUGUAUUCAGCUGAAAGUACUGUACGAAUAAGGAUCGGCUAACUCCGUGCCAGCAGCCGCGGUAAUACGGAGGAUCCAAGCGUUAUCCGGAUUUAUUGGGUUUAAAGGGUGCGUAGGCGGAUUGAUAAGUUAGAGGUGAAAUGUCCGAGCUCAACUCGGGAACUGCCUCUAAUACUGUUGGUCUAGAGAGUAGAUGCGGUAGGCGGAAUGUAUGGUGUAGCGGUGAAAUGCUUAGAGAUCAUACAGAACACCGAUUGCGAAGGCAGCUUACCAAUCUAUAUCUGACGUUGAGGCACGAAAGCGUGGGGAGCAAACAGGAUUAGAUACCCCAGUAGUC